AUGCUACUCUCUCAGCCGUCGUGUUGUUACAAUUAUGAGUGUGACUGGAGACUCGCGGCGGUCCAGUCUCGGAUCAUCAUCGGUAAAUGGCUGCGAGGAAUUGAAGAUGAGACGAGCCCUUUCACUCCUAUCAACCACUACAAAUCUUCUGCAAGAGCCAAAGCUUCUCUGCACGCCAUCGCCUCGAGUGUGGCUACAUCGAUGAUUCCCCGGACAACCAAAGAGGAGCUGCACAAAUAUCGUCCAGCAUCAUCUCGGCACACUGCGGAUGUCGCUUCUCUCAACUUGGAUUUUGCCACGCUUGCAUCGACAUGA
rnacentral:rRNA from 1 species